CCCUUAGAUGUCCGGGGCUGCACGCGCGCUACACUGAAUGAAUCAGCGUGCUAGAAAACCUUGUUUGACAUGGCUAGGUAACCCAUUGAAAAUCAUUCGUGAUUGGGAUCGGGACUUGCAAAUGUGUCCCUUGAACGAGGAAUUCCCAGUAAGUGCGGGUCAUCAGCUCGCGUUGAUUACGUCCCUGCCCUUUGUACACACCGCCCGUCGCUGCCCGGAACUGAGCCGUUUCGAGAAGACUGAAGAUUGCUGACUUGAGGCCUUCACGGGCUUCUAGUCGGUGAAAAUCAAUUUAAUCGCAGCGGCUUGAACCGGGCAAAAGUCGUAACA
rnacentral:rRNA from 1 species